rnacentral:rRNA from 1 species
ACACCGGCAGCUCUAGUGGUAACAAUUUUUAUUGGGCCUAAAGCGUCCGUAGCCGGUUUAAUAAGUCUCUGGUGAAAUCCUGCAGCUUAACUGUGGGAAUUGCUGGAGAUACUAUUAGACUUGAGACCGGGAGAGGUUAGAGGUACUCCCAGGGUAGAGGUGAAAUUCUGUAAUCCUGGGAGGACCGCCUGUUGCGAAGGCGUCUAACUGGAACGGUUCUGACGGUGAGGGACGAAAGUUAGGGGCGCGAACCGGAUGAGAUACCCGGGUAGUCCUAACUGUAAACGAUGCGGACUUGGUGUUGGGGUGGCUUUGAGCUGCUCCAGUGCCGAAGGGAAGCUGUUAAGUCCGCCGCCUGGGAAGUACGGUCGCAAGACGGAAACUCAAAGGAAUUGACGGGG